rnacentral:rRNA from 1 species
UCCGUAGGGUGCUAGCGUUGUCCGGAAUUAUUGGGCGUAAAGCGCUCGUAGGCGGUUUGUUGCGUCGACCGUGAAAACCCGGGGCUCAACUUCGGGCUUGCGGUCGAUACGGGCGGGCUAGAGUUCGGUAGGGGAGACUGGAAUUCCUGGUGUAGCGGUGAAAUGCGCAGAUAUCAGGAGGAACACCGGUGGCGAAGGCGGGUCUCUGGGCCGAUACUGACGCUGAGGAGCGAAAGCGUGGGGAGCGAACAGG